UACGGAGGGUGCAAGCGUUAUCCGGAUUCACUGGGUUUAAAGGGUGCGUAGGCGGGCAGGUAAGUCAGUGGUGAAAUCUCCGAGCUUAACUCGGAAACUGCCAUUGAUACUAUUUGUCUUGAAUAUUGUGGAGGUAAGCGGAAUAUGUCAUGUAGCGGUGAAAUGCUUAGAUAUGACAUAGAACACUAAUUGCGAAGGCAGCUUACUACACAAUGAUUGACGCUGAGGCACGAAAGCGUGGGGAUCAAACAGG
rnacentral:rRNA from 1 species